AGCAGCCGCGGUAAUUCCAGCUCCAAUAGCGUAUAUUAAAGUUGUUGCAGUAAAAAAGCUCGUAGUUGAAUUUCGGGGUUAGUAGGUUGGUCAUGCCUCUGGUAUGUACUGGUCUCACUGAUUCCUCCUUCCUGAUGAGCCGUAAUGCCAUUAAUUUGGUGUUGCGGGGAAUUUGGACUGUUACUUUGAAAAAAUUAGAGUGUUUAAAGCAAGCUAACGCUUGAAUACAUUAGCAUGGAAUAAUGAAAUAGGACGUUCGAUCCUAUUUUGUUGGUUUCUAGGAUUGACGUAAUGAUUAAUAGGGAUAGUUGGGGGCAUUAGUAUUCAAUUGUCAGAGGUGAAAUUCUUGGAUUUAUUGAAGACUAACUACUGCGAAAGCAUUUGCCAAGGAUGUUUUCAUUAAUCAAGAACGAAAGUUAGGGGAUCGAAGACGAUCAGAUACCGUCGUAGUCUUAACCAUAAACUAUGCCGACUAGGGAUCGGAUGAUGUUAAUUUUUUAAUGACUCA
rnacentral:rRNA from 1 species